rnacentral:lncRNA from 1 species
CAAAUAUACAUAGUGAGGCAGAACAAAUUCUCAUACUGGCCAUGUUCAAGACUCUGUCGCGUCGAACUUUUCUGGGCAUUAAAAACAGCUUCAAUAUCCGUCUUUUCUUUUUUUAGGGGGUGGGCAGGCAACAUUACCACUACUUUCUUUCUCCAUUCCUCUCCACCCUCACCCCCACCCCCCAACUCCCGAGGGGGGAAAGAAAAGACAAACAGAGUCUUUGUAACAAACAAGCGGAGCCAAGCCAGACAAAUCCAUCCAGCUGCCAAGUCCAAGAAUGCACGCCUCCUUUUGCGCCUGGCGUCCACCCUGCAGCGCCCCAUCGCAGCAUGGGGCCGCUGGGGUCUGCCCAGCACAGCAGCGAACACGCAGCCAGCGAAUGACUGCUCCCGUCGUGCUCCUCUGCGCGAGCAUUUCAAACUCUCCGCAACAACAACCCGCCCCCGCCCCCGCCUCCGCAGCCAUAACCAGCAACAGGCGAGAGCUGCAUUCCCAUUGGCUGACAGAGGCAGCGCUCCACUCCCAUUGGCCCAUAGGGAGGGCUCCUCCUUCCCAUUGGCAGAGAGCGAUAACUCCGUGCGCCCAUUGGCUAGAAGCAGUCCCAGUCCCGCUCCGGGGCGGGGCUUCCGCCAUUUUGUCUGGGGUGGCGGAAGGAGGAGGUGGAAGAAGGAGGCGGCGGGCGCUGGGAGUGGGGGUAGCAGGCGGUUUUCGCGCCUCUGUCUAGUUCGGUCCGGUCCGGUCCCGUGUGGUCCGCGCGCUCGCCCGCCCGCCGUUUGUCGAGGAGGUGCUGCCGCCGUCUCGCGGAACUCGGAGUCGGUGAGUGGAGCCGGGCUGCCGCCAUGUUGUGGGGAGGUCGGAGUGCGCCUUUGUUGGGGUUCGCGCGGAGCCCGGGGCGCCUCCUUCCGGCUCCGGGGGCCCCCUUGCGAGCGCUUGUGCGCCUUAGAGCCCGAUCGCACGGUCCAGAUGAGGAGGCCGGCGGCCCGCCCGCCUCCGCGCCUUUGCCCUUUGCUGUGUCCUCUCGGCCUCUUCCCCUGCCCAUCCCAUCCCAUCCAGUCUUGUGAGGCCAGGUCACCCCCUGGCCGAAGCCUGGCCGGGCUUGACCCCCGCGCACCCCAUUGCACGCUGUGUGUGUUUAUGCCUCCCGUGCACCCGGCCCUUAGUAGGCCCUUAAUAAAUAAAUGCUUGUUGACUCGCCUGGUGUUGGAAUCAUCUCAUUUGAUCUACACACCAGCCCUGGGAGAGAGGUGCUGUUAUUAUUGUUCCAUAUUUCUCUCUUUACUUUUAAAAACGAUUCAUUAUUUUUAG